rnacentral:lncRNA from 1 species
GAUGGCAGCAAAGGCAAAGGCAUGCAGAGGAGAGCAGAGUUUUAUAGUAAACAACAGAAGAUUGACAACAAAAAGAAAGAACAUGAAGAAGAUUGACAGCACAGAGAAGGAUCAUGCAAAGAUUCACACACAGAGAAGGCACAUGCAGAAGACUGACAGCACAGAGAAGGAUCACACAGGAGAUUGACAGCACAGAGAAGGAGCAUACAGAAGCCUACCAUUUGAUUUUGAAGCCACUCAAUAAGCACUUCUGCUGUUGAAUCUGGGAUCUGGCAUCUCAAUCCUUCCUUCUCAUCCGUUUCCAUCAUCUCCAACAAUCCACGCAGGUCUUCCACAAGGUGCAGAGCGCGCAAGCUUCCCAUAAAUGGGGAGGUGGGAGAUUGGCAAUCAAAAAUCCCAUUGGAAUACUCCAAGGC